rnacentral:rRNA from 1 species
ACAUACGACCAUAGCCGCUUGAGACCUUUGGAUCCCGUCCGAUCUCCGUUAAAUAAGCAAGCGAGCGCCAGAUUAGUAGUUGGGUCGGUGACGACCAGCGAAUGAGCUCGGAGCAUUAC